GGAAAACACCGGUUUGAAAUUAGCACGAGGGUGGGGGCUUUCCACGAGGCUCACCUGAGCAGAAGUUGUUUUGCAGGCAUGAGAAAUCACAGUGAGAGCAACGCUGUGGGUUAGGUCCAGGUGCGUGGUGGUGGCAAUGGCGUCAUCUGUUGAGCGCUUGGGACGGUACGCAAACUGCAGGGUUCUUUUGAAGACAUGCUCUGUUCUUUGUGGGAAUGGGACCUGCUCUCAGGGUUUCACGAAUGGCCAUUGUUCGGCAGGCCAAGGGCUCGGUCCACAAGCUUCGCCUGCCUUUAGAUGCCGGGAUCUCAUGGCUCUGGAGAUGGGGGGUAUUGGAGGUCAGUACCUCUGCAGGAGAUUGAUGUUUCGUUGGAGACAGAAGAUCCCUGGCUGUGUGCACAGAGCUUGGAAAAAGCGAUGCAACAGACUUUUAACAUCGUAAACCAGAGAAUUCUUUGUUAUGUCUCUCGUCUUGCUGUAAAAUAGAGAUACUGCUUUCUCCCUCAUUAGGGAGAGAGAGAGCCUGAGGUAUGUCGAAUUACCAGGUGAACAAGUAGUCUUUGGUGUACUGCAAGUCUGUGUCUUUGUUGUUGUUUUGCUCAUGCUUGCGUGCUCAAUGGUGGGUGCUGAUUUUUUUUUGCUGGUAGGAGGGCAAUCAUUGCUUGCUGCUGCUUACGCGCGGGA